UUCGCUUUCAAAUUCUCCAAUCGGCCACCAUUGUUGCGAGCAUUUCAGCUCGAUGUAUAUUGAAAAUUAGAAUUUUGAACUUAUUUUCAGCGAAAUAAUACUUUCCAACUGGUAAGACACAGUGAUCAAAGUUCAGGAACUCCGUUUCGAACUUCAAUCGGCCGCUGGAGUGUAUAUUUCUCAAAACAAAGUCUGUUCAAAAUGUCACGCGAAGUGAGCAUCAGACUCGUGAACACCAUUUCGUCUGCGAAAUAAAUCAAGUUUUCUUUGAAGUUAGUGUUGUUGUCCUGUGUUAAAGUGUACUAGUUUGCUAUAAACGUUUGUGGGGUGUGUUGUUCGGUUGUACUGUGAGUGGAGGACACCGAAAGCAUUGUAAGAGGAUUCUGGACACGUCGUAAGGCAGCGCAGUAACACAGAGUGAUCCUCGCGUGCCGGCGCCGGGAUGGUGGACUGAGCGCGGAGCUGGUGCAGAGUGACGGCGCCAUGUCGGGCGGCUCGCAGCACCCCAACGGGCGCCAGGCGCAGCUGGGCGCGGGCUGGAGCCCCCUGCAGGUGUUGCAGAUGGCGAGCUACCUCGCGCGCGCCCCGCAGGCGCACCUCGCGUCGGAGCGCGGCGUCACCUGGCACACGCCCACCCCUCCGCACCUCUACCAUGUGCCUGCGCCCUCGCCGCCAGACCCUCUGCAGGCUAUGAAGGUGUCAGCGGCGGCGGGCAACUCUGUGUUCCGGCACUCAGCGACCCCGCCCGAGCUGUACCGACACACGCCCACCCCGCCCGACAAGCAUCUCAUGAGACAUACUCCGUCACCGGGUGACGUGAAAGCGGGAGUGUCGCUGCCUGCGCCCGACAUAUUCCCGCAUCUGGGAUCCGCCAGAGACAAGCUAUCCCGCGCGGAGGACCUGCUGUACGGUCGCGGCGGCGUGGACCUGUCGUGCCCGCGCGGCGGCGGCGGCGGCGGCGGGGGAGGCGGGGGGCGCGCCGCCAACGGCUCCCCCGCGGCGCUGUCCGUGCGCGACGCGCCCACCAUCAACAGCCUCAUCGCGCGCGCGCCGCCGCGGCACCGCGUGGACUCGCUGCUGGAGCGCCUCGCCCCCGCCGCCCCCGCGCCCGCCCCCGCCCCCGCCUCCGUCAUCGUGCAGCCGCGCGCGCCGCCCACGCCCUCGCCGCCCUCCGCCGACGACGAGGAGAGCUCCGGCGGCUCCUCCAAGCGCAAGCGCAAGCCGGAGCGCGUGGUGCGCGUGCCCGCCGCGCCGCCCGAGCCCGGCCCGCCGGCCCCGCCGUGCAGCCCCCCGCCCCGCGCCACCCCGCCCCGCGCCUCCCCGCCGCGCGCGGAGCCCGGCGAGCAGCCGCCGGCGGAGCAGCGCGUGUCGCCCCCGCGCGCCGCGCCGCCCCCCUCCCCGCCGCGCGUCUCACCGCCGCUGCCUCUGGAGAACGGCGCCCCCGCCUCGCCCCCCGCGCCCCCCGCCGCCGCCGAGCCCGCGCCGCACGCGCGGAGAAAAACCAACUCCACCUCCUCCGAGACGAUAGACGACAUCGCGGCCAUGAUCGCGAGCGACAAGCCGUGCGAGCCGCCGCCGCCCGAGCCCGCCGCGCCGCCCGUCUCCAUCGACAAGCUGAAGAGCGUGCUGGGCAGCCCCUCCCCCGCGCCCCCCGCCGCCUCGCCCCCGCGCGCGCCCGCCGCCCCGCGCCGCCGCAGCGCGCGCGCCGACGCCGACGCCGCCCCCUCCCCGAGCGAGGCGCGCCCCGCGGAGCCCGACCCGCCCCCCGCGCCCCCCGCCGCCGCCGCCAGCAUCGUGGACGUGGAAGACCAGCUCGAGAAGAUGUUCGCGGGGCUGGAGCCGCCCGCCGACCCCGCGCGCCCCGCGCCCGCCACGCCCAAGGGCAGGAAGAGGAGAAAAUCCAGCGUGACGAAAGCGGACAAGAAGCGGCGGUCCAGCCGCGCCUCGCCCGGCGCCGACGGCAAGAAGAAGCCGGGCCGGAAGAAGGCGCCCAAGCAGAGGAAGAACGGGGAGGCCGUGAAGGAGUACGACUCCGGCAGCAACGCCAGCUCCGGCCGCUCCCGGGGACCCUACAUACAGAUCCGCGGUCCGCGCGACUCGCCGCUCUCCGUGUGCGUGGUGAACGCGGCGGCGGGCGAGGACGAGGAGGCGCGGCGCCGGCCCGAGGCGGAGUGGCGCGCGCGCGGCGGCCGCGGCCUGCACUGCAGCACGCUGGGCCUGCGCUACGACGCCGCCACGCCCGACGCCUCCUGGCGCUGCGCCUUCUGCGCGCGCCCGCCGCACCCGCGCACGCGCCCCCCACUCGGCGACCUGUUCGGCCCCUACACGCUCACCACCGACUGCGAGGAAUACCGAGCUCUAGACGAAUCAGAGAGGAGGGAUCCAGAGGUGUGGGUGCAUGAGGAUUGUGCGGUGUGGGCGGGCGGCGUGCUGGCGGCGGGCGCGCGCGUGUGGGGGCUGGCGCCGGCGGUGUGGGCGGCGGCGCGGGAGGCCUGCACGGCGUGCGGCGCGCGCGGGGCGGCGCUGGCGUGCUCGCGGCGCGCGUGCGGGGCGCGGGCGCACCUGCCCUGCGCGCGCGACGCCGGCUGGGCCCUGCCCGCCGACGAGUUCCGCGCGCUGUGCCCAACGCACCGCGCGUAGUGGCCGCCGGCCCCAGUGUGGGACGCUCCCCGAGUGUCGCUCUGUGUUCUGUACGUUCGUGUCGUGAUGUGGACGUGUAAGAAAAAUCUCUUUCCCCUUUCUAAGUAUUUUUUACAUAAUAUCAGUGAGCACCGGUCUUGUCGGCUAUGGACGGUUUAUCUGCAUAAGCUGGUAAAUGUAAGGUUUUGAACGCAAUUAUUCCCUCCCUGUCAAUGUGCGGUGUUUGAGCGAGGGGGAACCGUUGUGCCGCCAUUUUAAAUUGCCAUCUUACGACUUAAGUCAGAACUUAGUCUUCUUCGCCUCUUUUGAACUAAUGAAGUAUUUGUAAGAUAGAAGAAUGUAGAUAGUUUUCGAUGUAGUCGGUCGAUGCGGUCGGGCAUGAGGUAUGCGUUACAUAUAUGUACAGAAUAUUUUACAUAAUAGACCCAUAUUCGUGUAUGCGUUUUGUACACGAAGUUGAUCAGAAUGUUAGAUUGUAAAUACUGUAAAUAUUCCACUACACAUCGGAACACCACUUAAAAUUUUAGUAACCAAUUUACCAAGAUAUUCGUGAAUAUCUUCUUCAAACAACAGUAUUUCGUAGAUAUAGCAAUGCAGUGAUGUGAUGAAUUCGAUCUAAAUUAACCAGCAAUGUAAUUAUUGUAUUUUAUGUAAAAUCAUACAACUAUUUAGUUGCCAUUUUUAGAGAGAAAGCUAGUCUUAAAAUAGUGUCUUGUCUUGUGAUUAAAAAUAUAAAUCGUUAAUCUUUUAGCUUUUUAAAAAUUGUCGGUUGUACUGCAUUGUUAUAGUAAGUAUGUAUUUUACCGAGGAUGAACCCGCUAUGUCCAACACGGCUACCAAUUACUUGUAAAGUUACUGAGCAUAAAAGCAUCUGCAAAAGUUUAAGUAAAAUAUAUUAGUGUUUAAAUUUCUUCAAAGUUUAUUGGCUGUAACUUUCAAGUAAACAUUGUGAACUAAUUCGGCAGGAAAUAAACAGACAAAGCUAUGGAUUGAUUCUAUAAACUUGUCUACACGGAGCAUCUUCAAGGGUCAAUUGACAUAAACGACGUAGGAACAUAGCCAAUAGUUUAAGAGUUGAGCUCGACGAAGUGAAGUGAACUGUGUGUGUUUGAUUUAAGACUUCUAUUCGGCUGUUGUUAGGGCAGAUAAAUAUAGCAAUGAAUAAGUGAUAUAUUGAAAAUAAAUUUAAAAGUUGUACAUCACAUUAAUAUUAGGUAAAGUAAGAUGAGGCUUGGAGGCACACACAGUUCAGAGCUAGGGACUACCACGUGAAUACGCUUAAAGUAACCAGCUGCCGACUGUAGUAGCUCGGCAGGUAGAAGGCACAAGAUUGUACUUGUAACGCUAAAGUGUUUUAAAUUCCAGUUAAUAGGAAAUUAUCUGUAUUUAGAGAAUAUUAAGGUACAAAUUUAUAGUAGGAAGAGCAGACCAGUUGUUAUUAUUUUAAAAAUAAUAAAAAAAGAUCUUUUUCUAAAUUGUAAGAUGGACGGAAACUGUUCGGAUCAAUACAGCCCAAAGCCUUGAUAUUGUAAAAUUUACAAUGUAAAUGGUGUAAGAUUUUUUUAAACUCAUAUGGCAAAUGAUUACUUUAUAAGUAUGUAAUUGUUAUAAAUUAUAUUUAUCAUGACAUUAUAAGCAAAUUGAAAUACAACAUGUUUAAAAGGAA